rnacentral:lncRNA from 1 species
CAUCCACCCACUCUCCUCAGCUCUCAGCUGGAACUGGAGCCUGACCCUGAGCAUGACAUUUGGCAUAGUCGUUGGCAGGAUGAGAUAAUCCUCUCUCCACAACUUGAUAAUGCACAAACUGCAAAUCUUCUGGUACUCACUGCUGCAAGCAAACUUGAAGUCUUUCUGAGCCUGACUCUUCAUUCCUGCCUUGUGUGACCCAGGGAUGGAGGACUGCCCUCCCAACUCAUUAUCCUCUUUGCCCAGGAGCUGUACAUACAAAGGUGGUGAUUCCAAAGAAUUAGAGCAAACAAGCUGGAGCUGGAAUCUGUCCUGUUAUAAAAAAUCUGUUCCGCCCAAUCACGAGAAUGUAUGGGUCAAGGUUACAGCCAAUGCCUGCAAAUCACCACCGUGUGUUUCAUUGAAGAAAGUGCCCUGCUCAACCUCAAAUUCUUAUCUUUCAAAUGAUGAAGAAAAUGUCACCUUAUGGACAUCAUCAAAAUCUUCUUUCUGUAAUUGAAAUGGAAUUAAAAGUGAUUUCCUUGGUUUACAGCAAUAGCUAUAAAAUAAACCAAGCUGUCUCUUUGUUUAUUCUUCAGAAAAGUGAAACACUUGAGUUACAAGGAAUAAUCAGAGACUAAUGCCAAGACAUCCCUGAGAGUCCUCCAGAAUGAUGGAGAACCACAUUCCAUCUCUCUAAAUUGGGAGCAUAUUGUAGCUUUGCAGCAUAGCAAUAGGAGGUAUCUUUCUGGGUCAUGGCUUGAUGUUGCAGAAGUGGCAGUGGAGCCUCCAAAAUCCCUGCCUUCCUCAUCCCUUCCAGCUCCACAGGGCUCUGGAGAGGCAGACAAGGUUCUGCAAUGCUCACCUCAAAAACAGUGCUGUAGGAAGCACUUGGCGGGGUACUGCAGUCAUAAACACUCCGGGAUUCCAAGAUCCUGACAGAUGCCUAUGUCACCAAAACUCAAAUUUUAUACUUGGCUUCAUGUGAUACUCUUUUUUAUGAUGCAUAUAUGAUAUGGAACAACUGCUGCUAUGGAAUCACCCAGAAUAAAAGUGACCCUCUUGGAAAUGCCUCCAUGUAUGUGUGAGUGAGUGAGUGACAAGCUGUGACUUGUACUGUCUACUCUGUGUAGCACCUGGGAAAUGUGUCCACCUUGCUCCUUGUCACAGUCUGACUGUGGCUACACUACGCGUCGGUGAUCACUGUCCAUCGGGCAGAAACUCUCUCCUGAUUCUUGCAUGAAAAAAACACUAGUUCAUUCAUC